rnacentral:pre_miRNA from 10 species
GUUAAGGGGUUUGUUGUCUGGUUCAAGGCCUCCUGCUGUCCUACAUCACAUUUUUUUUUCUUUGUUCUGAAUUUCUGAUGGAUGUGUGUGUGCAUGAUGCAUGGCUGGUGGUGACCUCGGACCAGGCUUCAUUCCCUUUAAC